rfam:Ornithorhynchus anatinus chromosome 4, whole genome shotgun sequence.
AGCAGUGUGGCUUAGUGGAUAGAGCACAGGCCUGGGAGACAGAAGGACCUGGGUUCUAAUCCCAGCUUUGUCA